ensembl:lincRNA
GACAGAGUCUGGCUCUGCCGCCCAGGCUGGAGUGCAGUGGCGUGAUCUCGGCUCACUGCAAGCUCUGCCUCCUGGGUUCACGCCAUUCUCCUGCCUCAGCCUCCCAAGUAGCUGGGACUACAGGCACCCGCCACCACACCUGGCUAAUUUUUUGUAUUUUUAGCAGAGAUGGGGUUUCACCAUGUUAGCCAGGAUGGUUUCGAUCUCCUGACCUCAUGAUCCACCCGCGGCCUCCCGAAGUGCUAGGAUUACAGGCAUUAAUUUUUAACCAACUGUAUUUCUUUUACUGUGAACUACCUCUUCCAGUCAUUUCAUGGGUUGUAUUUUAAGAUCAAAGCUGAGCACCAUGAGAACACCAUUGUACCAGCUUGUUUGUCCAAAAGACAACAGAACUUCAAAGCCAUGAGGUGCCUGCCUUUCUUCCAAUCAAGUGGACUCUACUAGUCAUCCGUAGAGAUGCACAAGCUUGGAGCAUUUCCUUGUAUUUAAGCUGAGGAAAGGGAGAAUAUCCCCAGCCCCAUUUCAAGCUGUCAUCAUGAACAGUAGUGGAGGAGUGGAUUUGCCAAACAGCUGUCAGAGCUGACACCAGGCAGUGUCAGCAGUGGGGCUGAAGCUAACCCUUGGUGGAGCGACUUUCCUCUUGCUCAAUUCCUGGGUUCCCUCCUACUGUUCUGAACCAAUGACGCAGAUGGCAAGUGAAACAGUAGACCCUGAAAGGGUACGGAGGAAGGAGAAAACACUAACAAUGCCUGUCCUUGAAAUUUGCGGGACAGUAUGGGAGAAAUACCAUAUACUGAGGAAGCAGGCGAUUAGCAAAUUUGUGCUAGCAGGAAUUUCUUCAACAUCCUUCAAGUGCCUGGCACUGUUAAGAAAGAAAAUAAGAAAAAUGAAAAAUCACAGUCGAUAUUUAAAUGGCUCUUACCAUGUGCUUUGCAUGAAGACUUUUGCACGUGGUGACUCAGUCUUCACAACAACUCUGUCCUGUGCAUUCCAUGGUUAUCCCCAUUUUUCAGAUCAGCAAAGAGGCCCAAAGAAGCAAAGAAACUUGCCCAGGAUCACACAAAUCAGCAGGAGGAUCUGGGAUUUGCACACAGUGAGUCCGGCCAUAGAACCUGAGAUCAUAGUCAUUAUUCUCUCAAGGCCAUGGGGUAGUUGAGGAUUUGCAUUCUCCCUGGGGAGAUCAGUUAAGCUAGAAGUAGAGGAUGAAAAAAUGGAGGCAAGAUGAUGGUGUCAGGAAGGGGGAGGGACCUGGGCUAAACUUUGGGCAUGGAUGUGUACAGGGUGGGGAGAAGCUCUGCACAGGUGGGUAGAAAAGGUUCCAGAUCAAGAGAAGAGCAGGAGCAGAGGUGACUGAGAGCAUGACUGCAGUUAGAGACUAAGG